rnacentral:lncRNA from 1 species
AUGUUAUGAUCUUUUUAUCAUAUGCUUCAACAGUAGAGAAAAAUAACAGAUUCAUGUAUUGAUCCUUUUACGUGGUACCCGAAGUUUAAAGAGUAAAAAAGUUCACGGCCGUCGGGCCCAAAAUUUGAUACAUUAAAUAUGAAACCUUUCUAUCAUAUGCCUCAGAGAGAGAGAAAAAAACAUUUUAAUAUGGACGAAUUGGCAAAAAAAUAAUUCAACAAUAUACCUAAUGAUCAUUGUUUGAAAAGUCACUUUUUAAAGAAACUUUCUAAAAUUAUGUUUCAGAAAAACUUAAAAAAUGCAUUUAUUAAAUAAUUUGUUCGGUUUUUUUU